AUGAAACCAGAUAGACAAGAGGUCCUAAUGACUGUUCAGAAUAGACGUGAAAUUUAUACUGAGGACCAUGGACAGAGAACAUGGCGGGCCCACUCAUGAGCCCCAAAUCAGAAGUGGCAAGAACCAAGCCCGAAGUGUUGGCAUUUCUGGAAGGCCAGACAGUGUCCAGAUAGAACACUGGGAAAAUUCUUGUGGCAUUCAAUGGAUUAGAAGAAUGUUGUCUGCAUGUAUGAUUUUCUUCUUCCACUUAUAGGUCACAAUUUGAACAGGGCAUAGCUGGAAUUGCUGAUCUAUGCUCUACAAUGAUCGGGGCCUUAGGUGGAGUGGCUCUCAUGUCUGAAGUUGGCUGAGAUGGCUGGACUGGGGCCUUGGUGUGAGCUGUUGGUUGGGUUCACUUCCUUAGUUCAUCUCUAUAACAUGUCUGCUGGGCUGGAAUGUCCAUGAUGCCUUCUUCACUCACCUGUCUGCAACUUGGACUGGGAUGGCUGGAAUAGCAUUUCUUGGUUGCUUGGGAGUAAACAAGAAGAAAACAGAAAGUAGAAGUUGGUUGCAGAAGGAACUGAAGAAAGGGAUUUGGGAAAAAGCAGAAGGUCCAGAAUACUGAAGGUCCCAGUGAAGCUGAAAAGCUGUCACGGUGGAAGUGGCUGAAAAAGCAAGCUGGAAGACAAGGAGCUUAUGAACGAGGAUUUUGAAAGUGAAAAAAUUACAGAUGAUGACAAGAUCCAAGAUGUGGCUCUGGAAGAAUAUGACUGAUAUGGCAUGGGGUGACAAUGGCCUCAUUGUGAUUUCACACCCAAGGAGGAGAAAGAGGGCUGAUGAGGAUGGUCAGCUUCAGUGCACUCAUGACCAAAUGCUGGGAGGUAGAAAUUACAGUGAAGGAAGGUGUUUAAUCUCUAAGCUCGUGUUGGGGCUGGGCUUUUGAUCUCUUUGGAAUUUCUGUAAGGUUUAAUCAUUUAUGUAACAAGUAUUUAUUGAGUAUUUGCUAGGAGCUAGGCACUGUUCUAAAUACUAUAGAUGUCAUAUUGAACAAAACAAACAGUGUUUGCAUUCUUGUGGAUUCAUUACUCUCAAGUCCUGAUUUCUGUGUGAUGUUCUUCAGAAAGGAUCAUAGACCUGCCCUCCCCAACCCUCUUAACAAAGUCAGAAAGAGACACUUUGAAUGAGAAAAUUAGAUCAGCUCUACUCUAGCCUUUGAAGGAAAACUUCCAUUCCUAUCUUUUUAUUAGUAUGAAAUUUUGAGUUUAGUUUUAUUCAUCAUUGGAGUGAACAAAAUUAGUUUGUGGGAAAAAAAGAAAAGAAAGUCACUUGACCAGCUUUGAAAAAGGCUGUGAUUGUCUAUGUAGUCAAAGGCAAAAGAACUCUUUUAUCCUAUGUUACUGAGAGUCACCUGAAGAUGUGGGACAGGGAUUUGUAUAAAACAUAAGGCCUGGAAAUAGCAAAAGAUAGCAAUUGAAGAUUAGAGACUACGUGAGUUCUGAGAAUGUAGAACUAAGAGCAUUGCCUACCAUUGAAAGGGUACCAUAAAAGGAGAAAAGUCAAGAAGUUUAUCAUUAUUGUUCGUAUCCACCCAUCAUUAAGCUUUUCUAACUCUUAAUGAAUAUCAAAAGAUAAAAUGAUAAUAUAUAUGUACUCAUAAUAAAUAUUUUGAUUUACUUUUCAGUAGCGUAUAGUGCACAGGAAAGUCAGGUGUAUAGCAUCUCGUGACCUGGGUUUGCUGCCUGGUUGUGCCAUUGUUCUGUUAUUUUCUUUAGUGUUUCUAUCUGUAUAGUAAUUUCUAUUCCGACUUUGUAUUUCCCUAAAAGCUGCUCCUGAUGUGCUGUUGGUAAAAGCUGUUCACCUCACUGAUCAGGGCAGCAGACCAGUUAUGUAAAAUAAAGGAAAAGCUUCUCUCAUUCUUUUGAUAAAUGUGGAUUAGGCUUUGGCAUUAAGUCUGGGCCCUGAGACGUAAUGAGCAGCCCAACGAUUUCUUUUGAAUUUGGAUGAAUAGAAGACUACUCUCUACCUUUGAAAUCUGGCUACAGAAUCAUACUACACUCCAAAACAUUCAUAUUUCUCUAAAACUUCUUGGAACUCUUUGCCCAAAGCCUACUCUUUACUUUCCUGGAUCAUUCCUGUAACUUUGAUCCUUUUAUGUUUGGAUUGUCAUUAUCAGUGAGAGGCAUUGGUACUAAUGUGAAAAGUGAAAAUGAGAUCAGCACCAUACAGGUAGAACUGGAAUAUUAUGAUAAAUUACAAGAGAGAAGAAGCCAGUUUAAGAAAACAGACUUUCCGAGCUUAUAACUCACUCCAACCUUAUGAGAUAAUAAAUUUAGGAGUGUUCUUCGACCUUCUUUUGCAUUUGUGUAAGCUGAUGAUAAACGGCAAUUUUUCUGUUUCAAAGGAAAAGGACCACAAAGCAUCUUUGGCCACCAAAGAGCCCGGCUCUUACAAAAUAUUUUGAUGAGCUAAGUGUAAAUGAAUCAGAAAACAUACAGAUUGAAUUUCUACCCUUAUACUCAUGGGAGGCCUUUUUUCUUUUUUUAAUGAGAAAAAGAAUGCAGUUGACAAACAGGGUUUAGGUUUUUCUGAAUCAAAUAUUUAGAAAUCAGUUCAGGAGAUUUUCCUGAAUCUGAAUGAACAAAAGGUCAUUUUCCCUUUCCUGAUUUUAUCAUUCAUUUUGACUUUCUUGGCCUCUAUUUGUCCAGGUGCCCAAAAGAGAAAAUAAAUAAACUCGAGCAAGCUGAUUUUAAAGAUGAGAAGAGGAAUUAAAUCUGUCAUGGCAACGUUGCACAGCUGGAAACCGGCAGAGGAGGAGUUUUCAACGAAGGCCACUAACUGCAAAGCCCAGUUCUUGACCACUCUGCUCUGCUGUCUCUUCUUAUCAGGUUUCUGACAGGAAAUCAAUCACUUGAGAUGAAAAUGAAUGAGUGAUAAAAAAGAAAGUUGUUUCUCGAGGAAAAUGAAGACAUCAGCUUCCUCCAUAUCUGCCCCCUUCCAGAGUUGCCGGUGCCGCCUGACUCUGAGAUUUGUAAGAGGAAAUGACCUCAGUUUGCUACAGGGCUUACGCAGAGGCUCCACUAACUGCUGCCCAGUGGUAUGGAUUGUGAACUCUCCUUCUUCCCCUCUCAUGCCAGCUCCCAAAAAUAACCCAGUGGGAACAACCCAGCAGCCUCUCCCUCAAGACCUGCAAAUCAAAGCCCUGAUUAGGUCAAAGGAUGGGAAAUGCGGCUGCAGAGCUACUCAGGGGCGCUCUAAUGCCAAGGGCGUAGAAGACUUCCUGUUCCCUCGGAGGCUGGCUCAGAGCCACAAGGCAGACUUCACUCAGGAGACCUCGGCCCAUCUCUUUGGCUCCUUGAACCUGAUGGGAUUCCAGAAGUCCAGAGAUGAACACUGUCCAACCUACACUUGCCGGACCUCUGACGGAGGAAAGCCCGAUCUUGCUGGGGAUGCCUCACUCCCUGGGAAAGUUAUUCCCUCUGGCCCUUCCUUAUGUUAAAUGAGGCCAGUGAGAAAUGUUUUUCCUUCUUCAUUUCUGAUGGGGACAGUGAGAGCAGCAACUAGUAUCACUGUGAUGUCACCUUACAGUUUGAAUGAAAAGAAUAGGAAAUAGUCCCUGCCCCAUAACUAAGAUAGGCGUUUCUGGUAGGCAUUGAGGGGAAGUGAUAGAGCAAAUGGGGAGGGUUGGUGGGUAGAAACGAGCAUAGCAAGUGCUCUGCAACAGAGAACAGCAAACUGCCAAACUACAGACAGCUCCUUGGUCCAAUCUGGCCUCUCACCUGUUUGUAAAUACAAU
rnacentral:lncRNA from 1 species